rnacentral:rRNA from 1 species
CUGUUACGCGGUACCCCUAGUUUUGCAUGUCGACCCGAUGCACUUGAACUUGCCCCCUUGGGUUUAGAGGGGGACGGGUGAGUAACACGUGGGUAACCCGCCCCUGUCACUGGGAUAACUCCGGGAAACCUUACCUUAUUCCGGAAUACAUUCUACAGCGGAUGGCUCGGAAUUUUCAGGCCUUUUCCGAUGGAAUGUAUGGAUGGACCCUCAUCUCAUUAGCUGGUUGGAGGGCCACCGGCUCACCAAGGCGUCGCUGGGUUGACAACAUGAUCAGGCACUCUGGAACUGAGACACUGACCCAACUCCUACAGUAGGCCGGGAGGGGGAAUAUUGGACACUGCCCCCAUGCCUGAUCCACCCAUACCGCGUGGGUGAAGAAGGCCUUCAGGUUGUAAAGCCCUUUUGUUGGGAAAGAAAUCCAUAUGGUUAAUACCCGGAUGGGAUGACGGCCCCCACGGAACCUGCCCCGGCUAACUUCGUGCCAUACGUCGCGGCAAUCCCAAUGGUGCAAACGUGACUCGCAAUACUGGACUUAAAGCGUGCAAAGGUGGUCCUUGAAGUCCU